rnacentral:rRNA from 1 species
GACGAACGCUGGCGGCGUGCUUAACACAUGCAAGUCGAACGGAAAGGCCCUGCUUUUGUGGGGUGCUCGAGUGGCGAACGGGUGAGUAACACGUGAGUAACCUGCCCUUGACUUUGGGAUAACUUCAGGAAACUGGGGCUAAUACCGGAUAGGAGCUCCUGCUGCAUGGUGGGGGUUGGAAAGUUUCGGCGGGUGGGGAUGGACUCGCGGCUUAUCAGCUUGUUGGUGGGGUAGUGGCUUACCAAGGCUUUGACGGGUAGCCGGCCUGAGAGGGUGACCGGCCACAUUGGGACUGAGAUACGGCCCAGACUCGUACGGGAGGCAGCAGGGGGGAAUAUUGCACAAUGGGCGGAAGCCUGAUGCAGCAACGCCGCGUGCGGGAUGACGGCCUUCGGGUUGUAAACCGCUUUCGCCUGUGACGAAGCGUGAGUGACGGUAAUGGGUAAAGAAGCACCGGCUAACUACGUG